rnacentral:rRNA from 1 species
UACGGAGGGAGCUAGCGUUAUUCGGAAUUACUGGGCGUAAAGCGCACGUAGGCGGCUUUGUAAGUAAGAGGUGAAAGCCCAGAGCUCAACUCUGGAAUUGCCUUUUAGACUGCAUCGCUUGAAUCAUGGAGAGGUCAGUGGGAUUCCGAGUGUAGAGGUGAAAUUCGUAGAUAUUCGGAAGAACACCAGUGGCGAAGGCGGCUCACUGGCUCAUUUCUGACGCUCAGGCGCGACAGCGUGGGGAUCAAACAGG